UACGUAGGGUGCAAGCGUUAAUCGGAAUUACUGGGCGUAAAGCGUGCGCAGGCGGUUAUGCAAGACAGAUGUGAAAUCCCCGGGCUCAACCUGGGAACUGCAUUUGUGACUGCAUGGCUAGAGUACGGUAGAGGGGGAUGGAAUUCCGCGUGUAGCAGUGAAAUGCGUAGAUAUGCGGAGGAACACCGAUGGCGAAGGCAGCCCCCUGGGCUGACACUGACGCUCAGGCACGAAAGCGUGGGGAGCAAACAGG
rnacentral:rRNA from 1 species